GGGGGUAUAGCGCAGUUGGGAGCGCGCUUGAAUGGCAUUCAAGAGGCCAGGGGUUCGAAUCCCCUUAUCUCCA
rnacentral:tRNA from 1 species